rnacentral:tRNA from 1 species
UCUCUGAUAGUAUAUCGGUUAGUACACGCGCCUGUCAUGAGGCCGACUUGCUGGUACGCGCGAAAGCUGGGUUCGACUCCCAGUCAGAGAG